GAUGAAGAACGCAGCGAAAUGCGAUACGUAGUGUGAAUUGCAGAAUUCAGUGAAUCAUCGAAUCUUUGAACGCACAUUGCACCUCUCGGUAUUCCGGGAGGUAUGCCUGUUCGAGCGUCAUUUGUACCCUCAAGCUCUGCUUGGUGUUGGGUGUUUGUUCCGCCUCUGUGUGUGAACUCGCCUCAAAACAAUUAGCAGCCGGCGUACUUGUUUCGGAGCGCAGCACAUUUUGCGAUCCAGAUCAACGUACAGCGGCAUCCAAGAAGCCUUAUUUAACGCUCUUGACCGCGGAUCAGGUAGGGAUACCCGCUGAACUUAAGCAUAUCAAUAAGCGGAGGA
rnacentral:misc_RNA from 1 species